rnacentral:tRNA from 1 species
GCGGGCGUGGUGGAAUUGGCAGACACGUUGGAUUUAGGUUCCAAUGGAUUUCCGUGCAGGUUCAAGUCCUGUCGCCCGUACCA